CCUUUUGCAGUUGUUUAUCUUGGUGGCUUCCCUCACUUGUAUCCAUACAGCAUGGUCACUCAAUAAUUGAGAGCUGCCUACUUGACACAAAUAAACCACAAAGCACCAUACUGUUUGCAUUUCUUAAU